GGCGGCGUGCUAUACAUGCAGUCGAGCGGACAGAUGGGAGCUUGCUCCCUGAUGUUAGCGGCGGACGGGUGAGUAACACGUGGGUAACCUGCCUGUAAGACUGGGAUAACUCCGGGAAACCGGGGCUAAUACCGGAUGCUUGAUUGAACCGCAUGGUUCAAUUAUAAAAGGUGGCUUUUAGCUACCACUUACAGAUGGACCCGCGGCGCAUUAGCUAGUUGGUGAGGUAACGGCUCACCAAGGCAACGAUGCGUAGCCGACCUGAGAGGGUGAUCGGCCACACUGGGACUGAGACACGGCCCAGACUCCUACGGGAGGCAGCAGUAGGGAAUCUUCCGCAAUGGACGAAAGUCUGACGGAGCAACGCCGCGUGAGUGAUGAAGGUUUUCGGAUCGUAAAACUCUGUUGUUAGGGAAGAACAAGUACCGUUCGAAUAGGGCGGUACCUUGACGGUACCUAACCAGAAAGCCACGGCUAACUACGUGCCAGCAGCCGCGGUAAUACGUAGGUGGCAAGCGUUGUCCGGAAUUAUUGGGCGUAAAGCGCGCGCAGGCGGUUUCUUAAGUCUGAUGUGAAAGCCCCCGGCUCAACCGGGGAGGGUCAUUGGAAACUGGGGAACUUGAGUGCAGAAAAGGAGAGUGGAAUUCCACGUGUAGCGGUGAAAUGCGUAGAGAUGUGGAGGAACACCAGUGGCGAAGGCGACUCUCUGGUCUGUAACUGACGCUGAGGCGCGAAAGCGUGGGGAGCGAACAGGAUUAGAUACCCUGGUAGUCCACGCCGUAAACGAUGAGUGCUAAGUGUUAGAGGGUUUCCGCCCUUUAGUGCUGCAGCAAACGCAUUAAGCACUCCCCCUGGGGAGUACGGUCGCAAGACUGAAACUCAAAGGAAUUGACGGGGGCCCGCACAAGCGGUGGAGCAUGUGGUUUAAUUUCGAAGCAACGCGAAAAACCUUACCAGGUCUUGACUUCCUCUGACAACCCUAGAAAUAGGGC
rnacentral:rRNA from 1 species